UACAGAGGUCCCAAGCGUUGUUCGGAUUCACUGGGCGUAAAGGGUGCGUAGGCGGUCGGGUAAGUCUGAUGUGAAAUCUCACAGCUUAACUGUGAAACUGCAUUGGAUACUAUCCGGCUAGAGGAAUGGAGGGGAGACUGGAAUACUUGGUGUAGCAGUGAAAUGCGUAGAUAUCAAGCGGAACACCAGUGGCGAAGGCGAGUCUCUGGACAUUUCCUGACGCUGAGGCACGAAAGCCAGGGGAGCAAACGGG
rnacentral:rRNA from 1 species